GGUUCUAUGGUGUAUUGGUUAGCACAUUGGACUUUGAAUCCAGCGACCUGGGUUCGACUAACCGGUAGGACCC
rfam:Brassica napus, WGS project CCCW01000000 data, contig: 3274